UACGAGGGGGGCAAGCGUUGUUCGGAAUUAUUGGGCGUAAAGGGUGCGUAGGCGGUUUGGUAAGUCUUAUGUGAAAUCUACAGGCUCAACUUGUAGUCUGCAUGAGAAACUGCCGGGCUUGAGUACGGGAGAGGUGAGUGGAAUUCCGAGUGUAGAGGUGAAAUUCGUAGAUAUUCGGAAGAACACCAGUGGCGAAGGCGGCUCACUGGCCCGUUACUGACGCUCAGGCGCGACAGCGUGGGGAGCAAACAGG
rnacentral:rRNA from 1 species